rnacentral:rRNA from 1 species
ACUCAAAUGAAUUGACGGGGGCCCGCACAAGCAGCGGAGCGUGUGGUUUAAUUCGACGCAACGCGCAGAACCUUACCCAGAUUUGACUUGCACCUGCAAGCCCGUGAAAGCGGGUCGCCUUCGAGGGUGGUGCACAGAUGCUGCAUGGCUGUCGUCAGCUCGUGUCGUGAGAUGUUGGGUUAAGUCCCGCAACGAGCGCAACCCCCGCGGUCAGUUACUUGUGUCUGGCCGGACAGCCCUUCGGGGAGGAAGGCGGGGAUGACGUCAAGUCCGCAUGGCUCUUACGUCUGGGGCGACACACACGCUACAAUGGCGCCGACAGCGCGCAGCGACCCUGUGAGGGGGAGCGAAUCGCCAAACGGCGCCUCAGUGCAGAUCGGGGGCUGCAACUCGCCCCCGUGAAGGCGGAGUUGCUAGUAACCGCGUAUCAGCCACGGCGCGGUGAAUACGUACCCGGGCCUUGCACACACCGCCCGU